rnacentral:rRNA from 1 species
UGCAGUCGACGGCAGCACAGGAGAGCUUGCUCUCUGGGUGGCGAGUGGCGGACGGGUGAGGAAUACAUCGGAAUCUACUCUGUCGUGGGGGAUAACGUAGGGAAACUUACGCUAAUACCGCAUACGACCUACGGGUGAAAGCAGGGGAUCUUCGGACCUUGCGCGAUUGAAUGAGCCGAUGUCGGAUUAGCUAGUUGGCGGGGUAAAGGCCCACCAAGGCGACGAUCCGUAGCUGGUCUGAGAGGAUGAUCAGCCACACUGGAACUGAGACACGGUCCAGACUCCUACGGGAGGCAGCAGUGGGGAAUAUUGGACAAUGGGCGCAAGCCUGAUCCAGCCAUACCGCGUGGGUGAAGAAGGCCUUCGGGUUGUAAAGCCCUUUUGUUGGGAAAGAAAUCCAGCCGGCUAAUACCUGGUUGGGAUGACGGUACCCAAAGAAUAAGCACCGGCUAACUUCGUGCCAGCAGCCGCGGUAAUACGAAGGGUGCAAGCGUUACUCGGAAUUACUGGGCGUAAAGCGUGCGUAGGUGGUCGUUUAAGUCCGUUGUGAAAGCCCUGGGCUCAACCUGGGAACUGCAGUGGAUACUGGGCGACUAGAGUGUGGUAGAGGGUAGCGGAAUUCCUGGUGUAGCAGUGAAAUGCGUAGAGAUCAGGAGGAACAUCCAUGGCGAAGGCAGCUACCUGGACCAACACUGACACUGAGGCACGAAAGCGU